CAGAAUACCUCAAUCACUGGCUGGAAGGAUCACCUUGUCAUGAGGAGGAGAUGGUUCUGUAUCGGUGAACUCAUCUAGUGUUGGACUCUCUGCUGCAAGGGCUAUCAAAAACAGGUUUGUAGGAAGGCACUCCACUCCACACAGAAGCUCAAAGGGGAGGGCCACUCUCAAGUUGGAAAAAAACCAACCUGAAGAUGGUUGGCAAAGCUUCCUUCCAACUCUCAGGACUGAUGUGAUGCAGCAGGCUGCCCUCCAGGUCCCCACCUCGCUCCUCCCAGCUCACCACCCCAGGAGUUAUUGAAAGAACAGAAACACUGGACUUCUGACCUCCCUAGCAAAAAUGAUGACCUAUGGUUCAUUUCUAUCAAUCACUCAGCAAUCUCAAGACACUUCAGAAAUAAGACAUGUAGCAACAGCCUGACCCCACCAAACCAGAGCAACGUGGGCAACUGAGCACACGGUCCAUCAGACGGCACGCCUGCAGCUGCAGGUUCACAACCACAGAGGCAGUAGCCUUGCCAUCCUGGCCGCCACGUGCUUGGGCCACUGCAAGUGUGACAGAAGAGCAUCCCAAAGCCGAGCACACCGUUACCCAGGAGGAGCAAGAUGCCAGCACUGAGGUGGAUGGGUGGCCAUGUAAACCCUCACAGUUUGGAGAAGUAGCAGUGGUUAAACAGCUCGAGUUCACAGAAGCCAAGAUGGAUGUCUGUUGCACAAUAACUGGCUGAUGUUAACGGUACCUUGUCCACAGUCCUGGUUACGUUUUUCUCAUCAUGUUUUCUCUCUAUGUAGAGUCCAGACUGUGAGAAAUUUCAGGCAGGCCCACUCAUAGUUCUCAGCCUGGAGCAUUAUUUGCAGCAUGUAGGUUUUCCUGGGAAGCUGCUGACAACUAACAAGCCCAGUACUGAGCAGAACAGGAUCAUGGCUGUUUGUGCUGCACUAGUAACAGAGUCCAUGAGCACAACAUUUGUUAUGGCAGCUGACAAGAGUGUGGGGUGUCUGGUAUGGCAUCUAGUGAUGAUGACUUUUGUGACCAAGCCCUGAAGAUGGCACGGAGUCCUCAGAGACAGUUUUGAUGCUAAAAGAGUCCUCACUCCAUCUCCAACAACAAGCCACGCUUGGGGUGGUAGGUGACCUUGCCAGCUGAUAAAGCUGGGUUU